GAUGAAUGCUGGCGGCGUGCCUAACACAUGCAAGUCGAGCGGCAGCGAGGGGUGCUUGCACCCUGUCGGCGAGCGGCGAACGGCUGAGUAACGCGUAGGAAUUUGCCCCAAAGUGAGGAAUAACUGCCCGAAAGGGUAGCUAAUGCCGCAUAUGGUCUUCGGAUUAAAGGAUUUAUCCGCUUUGGGAGAAGCCUGCGUUGGAUUAGGUUGUUGGUAGGGUAAUGGCCUACCAAGCCGACGAUCCAUAGCUGGUCUGAGAGGAUGAUCAGCCAGACUGGAACUGAGACACGGUCCAGACUCCUACGGGAGGCAGCAGUGAGGAAUCUUCCACAAUGGGCGAAAGCCUGAUGGAGCAACGCCGCGUGAAGGAUGAAGGCCUUCGGGUUGUAAACUUCUUUUAUGAGUGAAGAAUAUGACGGUAACUCAUGAAUAAGCACCGGCUAACUACGUGCCAGCAGCCGCGGUCAUACGUAGGGUGCAAGCAUUAUCCGGAGUGACUGGGCGUAAAGAGUUGCGUAGGCGGUUUAAUAAGUGAAUAGUGAAACCUGGUGGCUCAACCAUACAGACUAUUAUUCAAACUGUUAGACUCGAGAAUGGUAGAGGUAACUGGAAUUUCUUGUGUAGGAGUGAAAUCCGUAGAUAUAAGAAGGAACACCAAUGGCGUAGGCAGGUUACUGGGCCAUUUCUGACGCUAAGGCACGAAAGCGUGGGGAGCGAACCGGAUUAGAUACCCGGGUAGUCCACGCCGUAAACGAUGGAUACUAGCUGUUGGAGGUAUCGACCCCUUCAGUAGCGAAGCUAACGCGUUAAGUAUCCCGCCUGUGGAGUACGGCCGCAAGGCUAAAACAUAAAGGAAUUGACGGGGACCCGCACAAGCGGUGGAUUAUGUUCUUUAAUUCGAUGAUAACCGAAGAACCUUACCAGGGCUUGACAUCCAGGGAAGGUCUGCGAAAGUAGACUGUGCCUUUUGGAACCCUGUGACAGGUGAUGCAUGGCCGUCGUCAGCUCGUGUCGUGAGAUGUUAGGUUAAGUCCUUCAACGAGCGCAACCCUUGUGAAUAGUUGUAUUUUUCUAUUCAGACUGCCCCGGUAACGGGGA
rnacentral:rRNA from 1 species